UUGGCCCUGAAUCAAGGCUGGCGACUUGCUGUAGCCGCUGGUUUCAAACAGGAGCCUAAAAAAAUGCCUUCCUGUGGUCUGUUGGCUGUUCCAUUGCUUCAGACUGGAACACUCAAUUCAGUUGGAAGCAACAACC